AUUGAACGCUGGCGGCAUGCCUUACACAUGCAAGUCGAACGGUAACAGGUCUUCGGAUGCUGACGAGUGGCGAACGGGUGAGUAAUACAUCGGAACGUGCCCGAUCGUGGGGGAUAACGAAGCGAAAGCUUUGCUAAUACCGCAUAAGAUCUAAGGAUGAAAGCAGGGGACCGCAAGGCCUUGCGCGAACGGAGCGGCCGAUGGCAGAUUAGGUAGUUGGUGGGAUAAAAGCUUACCAAGCCGACGAUCUGUAGCUGGUCUGAGAGGACGACCAGCCACACUGGGACUGAGACACGGCCCAGACUCCUACGGGAGGCAGCAGUGGGGAAUUUUGGACAAUGGGCGCAAGCCUGAUCCAGCCAUGCCGCGUGCAGGAUGAAGGCCUUCGGGUUGUAAACUGCUUUUGUACGGAACGAAAAGACUCUUUCUAAUAAAGAGGGUCCAUGACGGUACCGUAAGAAUAAGCACCGGCUAACUACGUGCCAGCAGCCGCGGUAAUACGUAGGGUGCAAGCGUUAAUCGGAAUUACUGGGCGUAAAGCGUGCGCAGGCGGUUAUGUAAGACAGAUGUGAAAUCCCCGGGCUCAACCUGGGAAC
rnacentral:rRNA from 1 species